AGAAGGAGCAUGAGAGUGAAGAUGAAGGGAGCGAAAAGGGGGAAAGAAGAUGAAGAAGUGGAGCACCACCCUGGAAGACAAGACAUUCAGAUGUGGACUAUCUAUUCAGAAACCUAAGAUGAUGGCUCUGGAUCAAACCCUGAGACAGUAGAAGGAGGAAUUAGGACACAGCGGCUUAUUUCCAUUUCCCUAUUGUUGAAGAAGCCUUCAAAUGCUGCAGUCACAUUUCCCCUGUGGUGCCCGCACAGGGAGUUGUAAAUGGUUGUUGCAUAUCUAUAUGAACCAUGUAUAUGUAAACUCGUAUGAAAAGUAUUCAAAAGGCCAUUUUCAACUCACUGUACGGCCACCGGAGGGGAAAUGUGACUGCGCCAUAAGGAGUAUCCAGACUUCGUCACAUCAUCACUGAAUCAAUCGAUAUGGAGACUAUUGAAAGCAAAAUCAAGAAUGACAAGCAUCAAUCUGAGGAAGCUUUGAUGAAGGAUCCUGAUGUUUGCCCGCCAUUACAGCGAGGAAGGCUCUAAGGUCUAUGAGGAUGCUAAUCUGUUUGGAAGUACUUCUGAAUGACAAAUGUGAUGAAAUUAGUCUGUCGUCAAAGUUCACGGCCAGUGGUGAGACCUUCUUCUGUGGAUCUGUGUUCAUCCAUCCAUCUGAGACUGUUCAUCCUCCUACCAAGAUGUUUUAUCAGAAUGAGGUAUUCCUGAGCUGUUUGGAGAAAUCUCCUGGCAUGGAUCAUACCUUUGGAAAACAUUCUCUUUAUGCUCUUUAAAGACUACAUCUCUGUCACACCACCCAGUUUACAACAUGGAUCCAACCCUUAUCUACUGUUAUACAUCUUGUAGGCAUAAGAGAAAGGAACAUGACACCAAUCUUGAAAUCAUCUUCUACAUGGAAUGUCUGGUAACAUCUAUUAGUAUCUCUGUGAGGUAUGAGUUGCUCUUAAUAGUGGCAUGUGAGACAUGGAAACAAUGUCUGCUAGAAGAGUUCUGAAUGCUGUGGUGAUAUGCCAUAAUCACAGUGUUUUAUAUAUGUUGAUAAAUAACUGACCACUUGGCUUAU